ACGCUACGUUCAGAGUUUGAUCCUGGCUCAGGAUGAACGCUGGCGGCGUGCUUAACACAUGCAAGUCGAACGGACUUUACAUGAAGCCUAGCGAUUGUAAAGUUAGUGGCGGACGGGUGAGUAACGCGUGGGUAACCUGCCGUAUACAGGGGGAUAACACUUAGAAAUAGGUGCUAAUACCGCAUAAGCGCACAGCUUCGCAUGAAGUAGUGUGAAAAACUCCGGUGGUAUACGAUGGACCCGCGUCUGAUUAGCUAGUUGGUGAGGUAACGGCCCACCAAGGCGACGAUCAGUAGCCGGCCUGAGAGGGUGAACGGCCACAUUGGGACUGAGACACGGCCCAA
rnacentral:rRNA from 1 species